UAACUCCCAACCCAAUGUGAACGUUACCAAACUGUUGCCUCGGCGGGAUCUCUGCCCCGGGUGCGUCGCAGCCCCGGACCAAGGCGCCCGCCGGAGGACCAACCAAAACUCUUAUUGUAUACCCCCUCGCGGGUUUUUUAUAAUCUGAGCCUUCUCGGCGCCUCUCGUAGGCGUUUCGAAAAUGAAUCAAAACUUUCAACAACGGAUCUCUUGGUUCUGGCAUCGAUGAAGAACGCAGCGAAAUGCGAUAAGUAAUGUGAAUUGCAGAAUUCAGUGAAUCAUCGAAUCUUUGAACGCACAUUGCGCCCGCCAGUAUUCUGGCGGGCAUGCCUGUCCGAGCGUCAUUUCAACCCUCGAACCCCUCCGGGGGGUCGGCGUUGGGGAUCGGCCCUCCCUUAGCGGGGGCCGUCUCCGAAAUACAGUGGCGGUCUCGCCGCAGCCUCUCCUGCGCAGUAGUUUGCACACUCGCAUCGGGAGCGCGGCGCGUCCACAGCCGUUAAACACCCAACUUCUGAAAUGUUGAUCUCGGAUCAGGUAGGAAUACCCGCUGAACUUAAGCAUAUCAAUAAGNCGGGAGGAA
rnacentral:rRNA from 1 species